CUGGCCCAUCACUAAGUGUGAGGGCGGGACCUUUCCAUCCCCUCCCAGUGUCAGGGUCGUUUGUUAACAGGUGUAGUGGGUUGAACGGUGGUGCCCUUCACUCCACUUCCCCCUAAAAAAGUUAUGUCCACGUCUUAAUCUCUGAAACCUAUACAUGUGACCUGACUUGGAAAAGGAGUCUUAAGGCUCUAGAGAUGAGAAUUUAGCCUGUGACACCACCGUUGUCCCAAUUUCCAACGCCAAACCGAGAGUCAUCCCUCCGGGAUAGAUUCUCCAGGUAGCUCCUAAAUCCAGUGACAAAUAUCCUUAGAGGAGAGACACAGAGGAGACACACAGAAGAGGAGGAAGCGGUGUGACUGUGGAGGCAGAGCCAUGAGGCCACAAGUCGAGGAAUGCCAACAGCCUCCAGCCCUGGGAGAGGAAAGGGACAGAUCCUCCCCUGCAGCCUUGGGAGGGAGCACGGUCAUGCCAGACUUCGGACCUCUGGCCUCAAGAACUAUGAAAGUAAAUUUCUGUUUUGCUAAUUUCGUGGUAAUUUGUUGAGGCAGCCCUAGGAAAAUAACACAACAAUACAUGAGCAAAUGGAUGUAAUUAAUUCAAACAAUACAGGAUUAUGUAAAGUAAAAAA